CUCUGCACAGGACGGAAGGAAAAGCAGGCGUUCUCCACUGUUUAAUGAAGAUUUCUUAGCAACUGCAGCCAUCUCAAGCCUUGGCAGUACCUGGCUCAUCUGAAAUGUUUGUCUAUAAAUUUUUGUAGACUGCUGACCUAAGUGUUAUUAAAAGUUCCUGUACCCAUUAGGUCUGGAAAGCCAAAGAGAAGGUUCAAGAAACAGGGGAUGGAAAACUCUACAAGAUUCACAGUUGAUUGAAUCCACGAAGGAGGAACCCGAGACUACAAAGGGACCCAAGCAUCCGUGGAGUCUGGUAUCUGCAGGGGAUCCUGGAACUGACCCCUACAGUUUUAGUAUAAGUGCUGCCGAAGCGAACUCUACUUUCUCUUCUUAUCCCUGUGAGCUGAGAACAGAGGGACCAUGAGCCCAAGGUCACCAAAAUACACACGGUGACCAUGAGGCUCCCGUCCAGACCUGCCAUUGAAGGGGUGGCUCUUGGAAGAACCCACUCCCCACCCUCUGCUCCUGUUGCUGGUGGAGGUCACUGUGAGCCCCACGAAUGACCUGGAUAUCACACACAUGCACAUGUGCACACACACUCUUCACACUACUGACUGGGGUCACACACAUGCUGACAUGGCUGUGUUUCCAAGCCUCUUCGACCUUUGCAUCCUCCUCAGCAGCCCCUGCCAACUUGUCAUCCUUCAGAGUUCACGUCAGAGGCCUCCUCGUCCGUUCAACCUUCUCUGCUGCCCCCAAGGCUGGAUUGGGCAUCUCUCCUAAGAGCACCCAGACUCCUGCCAUGAGAGUGUCUACACACACCCAGUUGGCUGUACUGGAAUCGGAUGUUCCUGGGUCUUCACUACGUU